rnacentral:lncRNA from 1 species
GUUUCCUCGAUCAAUCAUUUAGGCACAUCGAAUCCGCUUUGAGUUCCACAAAGGUGUUGCUGAAGAGACAUAUAUGAGAAUUGAUGGAGAACCAUGGAAGCAACCUCUUCCUAGGAAUAGGGAAACAGUGGUAGUUGAGAUUGCACACCUUGGACAGGUCAGUAUGCUUUCUGCACCAAAUCAUCCAUCAAAAAGUGUAAAUGAGGAACCCUCAACUCCAUCUACACUAAGUCAGAUGCAACCAGACUAUGAUUCCGAUGAAUAUGAAGAGAAAAGAAAGUUUGGUGCAGCUUCAACCUUCAAGUUUCCUGAAGAUAUUGAUAUUACCCAAUUAAGCUAGCAAGCUAUAGUCAAAUUUAUAAUAAAAAAACAAAGAAAUGAUCCAAAUUUGGUAACUAAACUCUAUUGUCUUCUUUUUAUCAUCUCCUAUCUAAAACCUAUCUAAAAAACAUCAAAAUCUAACAAAAUAUCAAAUCUAGUCAAGGAACUUCCCGAUCCAUCUUCAUCAUCUUCUCUGUAUUAGAAAGAAGCCACCCACAUUUGGGCUUUGGCAGCUGACAUUCAAAUCCACUAAAAACACCUCAAAAACGAAAUUAUCCAAAAUGAGGGUUCCUAGAAACACCCAAAAAAAACUAUAUAAAAGGAAUUAAAGUUUCCAUAUGGAAUCAAUUAGUCAAUAGUAUAAAUCAGAAACCAUGAACGGAAGAGAUUAUAACUAUUUUUACUAAUUAGUUAUCCAAAUUAUCUACCUAAAUUAUAUGUACGGAAGAUCAGCGGUGGUCGGUGGGUGAGUUGCUUCCAUGAACAUCGUCACUCGUCAGCCAAACAUCUUCUACCUCCCA